rnacentral:rRNA from 1 species
UACGUAGGUGGCAAGCGUUGUCCGGAAUCACUGGGCGUAAAGCGCGCGCAGGCGGCGAUCUACGUCUGGGGUGAAAGCCCGGAGCUCAACUCCGGGACUGCCUUGGAUACGGGAUCGCUUGAGGAUUGGAGAGGCAAGGGGAAUUCCGAGUGUAGAGGUGAAAUUCGUAGAUAUUCGGAAGAACACCAGUGGCGAAGGCGACUUACUGGACACAUAUUGACGCUGAGGUGCGAAAGCGUGGGGAGCAAACAGG